UCUCCCGGCCCGAUAGGCUGCAACAAUGAAAGAUGAGGUCGGCCACCAAUCACAGCCCGGCUUGCUGAGAGGCAAGGGGGGAGAUAUUUGGGCCACUGUGCAUCUUAGCUGUCUAAGGGGGGGGGAAAAGAUUCUGCUCUUCACUGGAGCGAGCCCAGUUCACGUAUCGCAGCCAGUUCCCCUUCGUGGGGUCUGUGGCGUCAACGCACAUCCAGCCCCGCGCAGGAAAAUAAACCUACAGGACACCGGUAGAAAGAGAUAACUCUGGAAGAACUGGGACUGAAUGGGGUCACCUUAACCUCGAGUGGGAGCGAAAACAUAAUCAGUAGCAUCUGUCAUAGUAAUUUAAUAACAUUUUAAAUAAUUUACAGGUAACAACAAAUGUUAAAAGGUACAUGUGAACUCUUGACAGCACUUUGACUACACUUGAUGCAGAAUGCAGUUGGGCUUGUCUUAGCUAUGCAGCGACUGUCACAAACCUGGAGGUGAGUAUUUUGGGGAAAGGAGCUAACAGAGCAGCAUUUAACAUACCUCCCACAUGUAAACGUUACUCGUCACCUGGGACCUUUUUUUCUUCUCUCCAACAAAUGGGCCGAACCUCUUGCCUUUAGGAAUGACCCGAGUGGCCCAGACACCUUAAAACACAAAAGAGUAAGGAUGAACAUCUUAUACCUGUUAGAUUUGAGAUUAGAUCCGGUACUAUGUUGAACUUAAGCUCAGACUCAAUGAUCUUCAGGAUUAGAAUGACGAGCACUGUGUGUAAUUUGGGGUAUCUCACCUCAAAAACAUCAACAAAAGACGUUGUUUAAUGAAGUUGUGAAGUAAAAUGGGAUUAAAGGAGUUCUUUUAAUUGUUAAAAAUCCACCAUUUCCCAUGACAGUCGUUCACGGACGAGGUAACGUGUUUCAGUUUUUUCUACUUGCUUCUUCACUCUCUGAUGUAUCUAAUGUUUAUAUGGAAGUUAAAGCAACCAGAGGGUAAAGGUGACCAAAUUAAAUUCACUAUUACCUAAAAUAAAGGUUAUGGAUUUCUCUAGGUUUUAUCAUUGUUGGAAACGUUUAAGAUAAUAAAAGUACACAACUCAGAAAUAUAACAGGUCUAGUAGUUUUUAGACAUUUCAAUGUGUAAAUGUUACAUAUUAUACCUUUAAGACUAAUUGUGUUUUUAGGGUUACGGUUCAGAACAAAUCUGUCUGAAGUUAUGUGUGGUAGCCUCAAAAGAAGAGAUAAACAGGUGAAGAUGUUCAGAGAAAGUGUAGUUUAUGUUUGACAGGAGAUAAAGAUGACAAAUAUGUUGGUUUGUUGAGGUUUUGACGAAGAUAGAAACAAACUUGUAUUAAUGCAUAACGCAAUAUAAAAACAUACUUAGAUAAGUUUAACAUGGUGGAUUUCUAUUAUCUUUUAUUAUAUGGCUUGACUUGAAAAAGCCUACUAGCUCACUAAAGGUACAGUCCUUCAUUGAUCUCCUGACUUAUAUUUUGAAUUGCCACAAGGGGGAGCCUCUUUCCAGUCAUUCCAAAAUCCUAAAAUCCUGUCACACUGUGUUGGCUCAUUGUACCCCCCCCCACAAAAAAGAUGUGUGGAAAUAAUAUGGAUUUCAAACUAUCUAAACUAGCUAUUGGAGGUGUAUCAUCUGUGAUGCAAUGAAAAUAUUUGUUCUUGACUAAAUGUAACUUAAAGGGUUUCCAGUAGGUUUUAGUGCCAUUUUUGCCACACACAUAUUCAAACUCACAACCCUGCACAUACACAUCUUCAUCUCUACCCUCAUCCACUGCCCUCCGCCAUCUCAUCAACUCAUCACUUCUAUCUACGCCAUCCACAAACGGUGUUUAACGCCAAUUUUAAGCAUAUUUUUAUGAUUAUUACAAUGAUAUCGUACAUCGCAAUUUUUUUGGACAGGAUAAUCUUGACAUUCAAUUUUCAUACUGUCCCAUGCGUAGUCACAAUAUUAGUGAUUUGUGAAUAGUUUAGACGCUGUUACAUUUGAAAGAGUCUAAAAUGAUCAAAGAGUUAAAUGAUCUUGCUUAGUUUGUUAAAAUAAUACUGACAACUUUUAAGUAGCUGUUAAAUAUUUAACAGUGUAGAUUUAUUUGUGUAAUUGUUUUUUAAAUGUUUACUUUCCUAUCUUUUACAACUUUAUUGUAUUCCACAUGCCCUUCCAACAAUUUCCCCCCUCAGGGUGAUUGAUAAUAAAGUUAACUGAACACAG